rnacentral:tRNA from 1 species
CCUUCGAUAGCUCAGUUGGUAGAGCGGAGGACUGUAGAUCCUUAGGUCGCUGGUGCGAAUCCGGCUCGAAGGG